rnacentral:ncRNA from 2 species
CUCUGGAAAGCAGAACAGGCGGCGGGAUGACGUCCCCGGGCCGUUCUCACCGAAGAUGGAAGCCGGCGGUCCGACCCCGGUGACUCUUUCAGGUUUCGAGACAGAG